UAGGGAAUCUUCGGCAAUGGACGGAAGUCUGACCGAGCAACGCCGCGUGAGUGAAGAAGGUUUUCGGAUCGUAAAGCUCUUUUGUUAGAGAAGAACGUUGGUAGGAGUGGAAAAUCUACCAAGUGACGGUAACUAACCAGAAAGGGACGGCUAACUACGUGCCAGCAGCCGCGGUAAUACGUAGGUCCCGAGCUUUGUCCGGAUUUAUUGGGCGUAAAGCGAGCGCAGGCGGUUCUUUAAGUCUGAAGUUAAAGGCAGUGGCUUAACCAUUGUACGCUUCGGAAACUGGAUGACUUGAGUGCAGAAGGGGAGAGUGGAAUUCCAUGUGUAGCGGUGAAAUGCGUAGAUAUAUGGAGGAACACCGGUGGCGAAGGCGGCUCUCUGGUCUGAAACUGACGCGGAGGCUCGAAAGCGUGGGGAGCAAACAGG
rnacentral:rRNA from 1 species